rnacentral:rRNA from 1 species
UACGUAGGGUGCAAGCGUUGUCCGGAAUUAUUGGGCGUAAAGAGCUCGUAGGCGGUCUGUCGCGUCUGCUGUGAAAACUCAGGGCUUAACCCUGAGCUUGCAGUGGGUACGGGCAGACUAGAGUGCGGUAGGGGAGACUGGAAUUCCUGGUGUAGCGGUGAAAUGCGCAGAUAUCAGGAGGAACACCGGUGGCGAAGGCGGGUCUCUGGGCCGUAACUGACGCUGGAGGAGCGAAA